rnacentral:snoRNA from 1 species
AAGACUAUACUUUCAGGAUCAUUUCUAUAGUAUGUAACUAGAGAUGAUUAUAGGUGCUUAUUUCACUUAAUGUAGU